ensembl:lincRNA
UGGACAUCAUGCCUGAGGACUGUGGAAUGGGCCAACCCUCUGAUUAGGGGGCUUCAGUCCUUCUGUCCUAAUCUGUCUCCCUCCUAAAGAGUCCCCGGCCCUAAGGACCCCUGCUGGGAAGUACCCAAGACCCACCACCCCAUUGCAUCAGACAACACUCUGGUCUGGAAAGCCACGCCCUGUCCCGACAGAUCAGAGGCGGGCAGAGCUAAGUGGUCACAGGCAUACUUCCAGUCACAGAGCUAGGGGUAGCAGCCUGGACUGAGCCCUGGCAUCACAGUCCUUACCCAAGGAAGUCUGUUGGGACUAGAGAUUCUGGUAUUUGCUGGGAACCGUCCCUGUUUGCACGCACUAGGUUCCAUGGAAAAACCCAAACCUUGCAUCAGCUAGCCAAUCGGCUCUGCUAAGAGCCUCUCUUUCAGCUUCUCUGGCUUUCCCCACCCGUUAUCUGACUCAUCUCCCAACAGUCCCGGGGGACAGGAGACAGCAGGCUUCCGGUCCCUGUUGCAUGGAUGGAGAGACGGGCAGGAAGGGGCUUCCUGCAAUGAGUCAGGGGCUAGAGCUGGCACCAUCCCAGAUUUCCUUUUCUGAGGCUCGGAGAGGUUAAAGCAACGUAUGUAAGGACGCGCAGCCUAGUCCUUGUUCCAACAGGCUGGAGACAACAGGGGAGGCAAGCGGCUUAGAACUGUUCUCCAAACAAGUGCCCCAGCGCGUGCGCGCCCACGUAAGGCUGCCCAGCAACAACACAAGGGAACAAAUACCAAAAUGGGGUCCUUGUUUGGUACCUGGAAGCUGAAGAAGGAAGUGGCAUCCAGAGGCUUCUGUGGGAGAUUCAUAGUUCUUGCAGGUCUGGAUGGAAGCUGUUUCCCCCACUUCCUUUAUCUGGGUGAGGAGCCACCAGUGACUUGGUCAAACUUUUCACUAUGUACAAGUUGCAGUCACCCUUCAGUCUCGGUUUGUAUGCUCAGAAGGGGCAAAGGAGGAGUCAACACCUGUUACCUCGUGUUAAUCCUCAGGAUGAACAUCCUAAGAAUGUUUGUAACUCCCUCAACACAACCCGGCAGUGGAGGGGCGCUACUUUCACCCCACAUUAUACAUGAAGACACUGAGGGUCAAGAAGAGCCCUGUGCCCAGGCGGUAGUUGGAGGCUGGGAGAGACUGACCCAAGGUCAACCCAAGGUCAACCCAAGACUGACCUCCCUUCAGAGCUCAGCCUCUCAUCCCCAAGCUGGAUGA